GAUGAACGCUGGCGGCGUGCCUAAUACAUGCAAGUCGAGCGAACGGACGAGAAGCUUGCUUCUCUGAUGUUAGCGGCGGACGGGUGAGUAACACGUGGAUAACCUACCUAUAAGACUGGGAUAACUUCGGGAAGCCGGAGCUAAUACCGGAUAAUAUUUUGAACCGCAUGGUUCAAAAGUGAAAGACGGUCUUGCUGUCACUUAUAGAUGGAUCCGCGCUGCAUUAGCUAGUUGGUAAGGUAACGGCUUACCAAGGCAACGAUGCAUAGCCGACCUGAGAGGGUGAUCGGCCACACGGGAACUGAGACACGGUCCAGACUCCUACGGGAGGCAGCAGUAGGGAAUCUUCCGCAAUGGGCGAAAGCCUGACGGAGCAACGCCGCGUGAGUGAUGAAGGUCUUCGGAUCGUAAAACUCUGUUAUUAGGGAAGAACAUAUGUGUAAGUAACUGUGCACAUCUUGACGGUACCUAAUCAGAAAGCCACGGCUAACUACGUG
rnacentral:rRNA from 1 species